AGUUUUAUAAUUUUUUUAGGGCAUGCCAGACCUACACAUAUGUAUAGGCAAAAUAUACAUAUGCAUUACAAAUUUGUUCUUCUUGAUGUGGGGUAAGCAUCUGAUGCAUGUCUGGUCCACACAUCAGGGAGGUAAUUGUGUGGUUCGCAUGGCAUGUUGAACUCAUCACCAACAUGUGCAUGUGUCUGGUACUGUUCAACAUUUUAAUUUUAAUUUUAGAAACGAGGUAAUUGUGUGGUUCGCAUGGCAUGUUGAACUCAUCACCAACAUGUGCAUGUGUCUGGUACUGUUCAACAUUUUAAUUUUAAUUUUAGAAACUUUUUACAGAACAGAAUGAAUCAGAAAACCUCUAAAAUCCAUAACAGCCUUAGGAACAGUUCUGCUGGUAACUUUUCA
rnacentral:lncRNA from 1 species